AUACCGGAUAGGCAAUUAUUCCUGGAAUGGAUUUUUGUUUAAAUGUUUUUUCGCCUAAGGAUGGGUCUGCGGCCGAUUAGGUAGUUGGUUAGGUAACGGCUUACCAAGCCAUUGAUCGGUACGGGUUGUGAGAGCAAGAGCCCGGAGAUGGAACCUGAGACAAGGUUCCAGGCCCUACGGGGUGCAGCAGGCGCGAAACCUCCGCAAUGUGGGAAAUCGCGACGGGGGGAUCCCAAGUGCCAUUCUUAACGGGAUGGCUUUUCAUUAGUGUAAAGAGCUUUUGGAAUAAGGGCUGGGCAAGACCGGUGCCAGCCGCCGCGGUAACACCGGCAGCUCUAGUGGUAGCAGUUUUUAUUGGGCCUAAAGCGUCCGUAGCCGGUUUAAUAAGUCUCUGGUGAAAUCCUGUAGCUUAACUGU
rnacentral:rRNA from 1 species